rnacentral:rRNA from 1 species
GACGAACGCUGGCGGCGUGCUUAACACAUGCAAGUCGAACGCUGAAGCCCAGCUUGCUGGGUGGAUGAGUGGCGAACGGGUGAGUAACACGUGAGUAACCUGCCCCCUUCUUUGGGAUAACGCCCGGAAACGGGUGCUAAUACUGGAUAUUCACUGGCCUUCGCAUGGGGGUUGGUGGAAAGGUUUUUUCUGGUGGGGGAUGGGCUCGCGGCCUAUCAGCUUGUUGGUGGGGUGAUGGCCUACCAAGGCUUUGACGGGUAGCCGGCCUGAGAGGGUGACCGUUCACUUUGGGACUGAGAUACGGCCCAGACUCCUACGGGAGGCAGCUGUGGGUAAUAUUGCACAAUGGGCGAAAGCCUGAUGCAGCGACGCCGCGGGAGGGAUGACGGCCUUCGGGUUGUAAACCUCUUUCGCUCAUGGUCAAGCCGCAGCUUUGGGUUGUGGUGAGGUUAGUGGGUAAAUAAGCCCCGCCUAUUCAUUUUGUCUGUGUUUUUUUCUCUUGUCGGUUUGGAUUGUUGCACAGAUUUUGGGGUUUGAUUUUUUGAUUCUUUGUGUCUACCCUCUCGUCAUCUGCUAUCUUAUGUUUUUGUUUUCCUCUAUUUGUUUUUUUUUUUUGU